rnacentral:tRNA from 2 species
UAGAUCAAAGCCAGUUGAUUAGGGUAUUUAGCUGUUAACUAAAUUUUUAUGGGUUUGAGUCCCAUUGGUCUAG